GCCCCUCUGCGGUGUUCGAGACUGGACAGUGUACUCUUGAGCCGUAAUUUACUGCCUUGGGGGUUGAGUGCUGAUAUUUCUGUGCAUGUCCGCUUGAACGGAAAGCCUUCGAUAUCACCGUUACUCCCACAUGAACCAUUGGUUCAGGGGCGUAUGUCCACCCCGGCAUUGCGGAGGCGGC
rnacentral:other from 1 species